CUUUAUUUUCACCAACAAGCUGAUGCAGUUCACAGAUAUUCUACUGCAGUGUGUACCAGGGAAGAAAGAGCCAGUGCCACAGAGUACUGCAACAAAACACAUCACCAGUAAGAUGGAAAGCCACCAACAAUUUUCCAUCCACGGCUGCAGUCACCAUCUAGGGAAGGAAAGGAGGGGAUAUGGAGUCUGGUUGUAUAAGGAGGAGAUUACAUUUCCAUGCCACAGGCCGGCCCACAGAUGAAACACUGCUGGGGAGGUUGAUUAGCCACAUCAGCGAGAGAUGGCAAGACAAGGCUUCACAGACUGCUGUUGGACCGAGUCCCAUCUGCCUCCUGCUGAGCAGCAACUAAGGCCAGAUCGACUUGUUUUGAUCCUAUGAGGGGCUUCUGGGCCUGUUGUCCUUGGCUAAAUGCAACAGCACACAAGGCCGAAGCUAUUCCUGUGCAUACGCAGAGCUAGCGUUGCAGCAAAUGAAAACGUGGCAUGUUAAUAAAAAAAAUGUUUUCUCAAAGCGCCAAUGCAGUUCUUACAUCACACACACAAUGGAGUGCGACUGUAAGGCAAUCAGAGCGGCCCACAUUUUUGUAAGAUGACCAAUCACAAGAAAGAAGCAGUGCUCUACAAUCUGUGCACAGCUGUUGGUUCAUAACAGCAGCAGUAAGCAGCGGAGGACA